GGUCCUACGGGGGGCAGCAGUGAGGAAUAUUGGUCAAUGGGCGGAAGCCUGAACCAGCCAAGUCGCGUGAGGGAAUAAGGCCCUACGGGUCGUAAACCUCUUUUGCCGGGGAGCAAGGGCCGGGACGCGUCCCGGCCCGGAGAGUACCCGGAGAAAAAGCAUCGGCUAACUCCGUGCCAGCAGCCGCGGGAAUACGGAGGAUGCGAGCGUUAUCCGGAUUUAUUGGGUUUAAAGGGAGCGUAGGCGGGCUUUUAAGUCAGCGGGAAAAAUUCGGGG
rnacentral:rRNA from 1 species